UACGUAGGGUGCGAGCGUUGUCCGGAAUUAUUGGGCGUAAAGAGCUCGUAGGCGGCCUGUCGCGUCUGCUGUGAAAUCCCGGGGCUCAACCCCGGGCCUGCAGUGGAUACGGGCUGGCUGGAGGCAGGCAGGGGAGAACGGAAUUCCUGGUGUAGCGGUGGAAUGCGCAGAUAUCUGGAGGAACACCGGUGGCGAAGGCGGCAUCCUGGACCGGCAUUGACGCUGAUGAGCGAAAGCCAGGGGAGCAAACGGG
rnacentral:rRNA from 1 species